UCUGACUGGAAAAGAAGCAGCUGAGGCUGAACAGAGAUGGGGACGUGGGACUUUAAAGUUGAUGAGUGUGGGUUCUAUCCAGGAUCCCGUGGGAAGCCAUCUGAGUUGUGAUGCAGGAAACAGGCACUGAUGGAAGUUUCAGGAAGACUCAGGCUUUCUAGAGUCCAGCAAAUGGCUGAUAUGUAAAGCUCUAGCUUUAGGGCCUGUAGUGAGAGAACCACCAAAGUUCUCUAUAAGAUUAUCUCAAUUUUGAAGGGAUAGAUGCAUUUUAACAUUCUCCCUUCAUUUCCAUUCAUUCCCCCAAAGCU
rnacentral:lncRNA from 1 species